rnacentral:rRNA from 1 species
CCUACGGGGGGCAGCAGUGGGGAAUAUUGGACAAUGGGGGGAACCCUGAUCCAGCCAUGCCGCGUGUGUGAAGAAGGCCCUCGGGUUGUAAAGCACUUUCAGUGAGGAAGAACGCCUGGUGGUUAAUACCCAUCAGGAAAGACAUCACUCACAGAAGAAGCACCGGCUAACUCCGUGCCAGCAGCCGCGGUAAUACGGAGGGUGCGAGCGUUAAUCGGAAUUACUGGGCGUAAAGCGCGCGUAGGUGGCUUGAUAAGCCGGUUGUGAAAGCCCCGGGCUCAACCUGGGAACGGCAUCCGGAACUGUCAAGCUAGAGUGCCGGAGAGGAAGGUAGAAUUCCCAGUGUAGCGGUGAAAUGCGUAGAGAUCGGGAGGAAUACCAGUGGCGAAGGCGGCCUUCUGGACUGACACUGACACUGAGGUGCGAAAGCGUGGGUAGCAAACAGGAUUAGAUACCCUAGUAGUC